GACGAACGCUGGCGGCGUGCUUAACACAUGCAAGUCGAACGGUGAUCUUGGGAGCUUGCUCCUGGGUGAUCAGUGGCGAACGGGUGAGUAACACGUGAGUAACCUGCCCCUGACUCUGGAAUAACUUCGGGAAACCGAAGCUAAUACCGGAUAUGACACAGAGCCGCAUGGUUUCUGUGUGGAAAGUUUGUUCGGUUGGGGAUGGACUCGCGGCCUAUCAGCUUGUUGGUGAGGUAAUGGCUCACCAAGGCGACGACGGGUAGCCGGCCUGAGAGGGCGACCGGCCACACUGGGACUGAGACACGGCCCAGACUCCUACGGGAGGCAGCAGUGGGGAAUAUUGCACAAUGGGCGAAAGCCUGAUGCAGCGACGCCGCGUGAGGGAUGAAGGCCUUCGGGUUGUAAACCUCUUUCAGUAGGGAAGAAGCGCAAGUGACGGUACCUACAGAAGAAGCACCGGCUAACUACGUGCCAGCCGCCGCAGUAAAAC
rnacentral:rRNA from 1 species